rnacentral:rRNA from 1 species
ACCAGAUGAAAUAACGAAAUCGCAUGAUUUUGUUCUCAAAGAGUAAUCAAUCUGAGACGGGGCUAUAUUGUAUCAGCUAGUUGGUAAGGUAAUGGCUUACCAAGGCAAUGACGCAUAGCCGGGCUGAGAGGUCGGCCGGCCACAUCGGAACUGAGACACUGUCCGGACUCCUACGGGGGGCUGCAGUAACGAAUCUUCCACAAUGCACGAAAGUGUGAUGGAGCGACGCCGCGUGUGGGACGAAGUCCUUCGGGAUGUAAACCACUGUCAUGGGAAAGAAAGAUCUGAUCUACCCAAGAGGAAGUGGCGACUAACUCUGUGCCAGCAGUCGCGGUAAUACAGAGGCCACAAGCGUUAGGCGGAAUCACUGGGCUUAAAGCGUGUGUAGGCGGGUUGAUAAGUACUUUGUGAAAUCCCACGGCUUAACCGUGGAAUUGCUUGGUAUACUGUCGAUCUUGAGUCAUCUAGAGGUAACCGGAACAGAUGGUGGAGCGGUGAAAUGCAUAGAUAUCAUCUGGAACGCCAAUGGUGCAGACAGGUUACUGGGGAUGUACUGACGCUGAGGCACGAAAGCUAGGGGAGCAAACGGGAUUAGAUACCCCGGUAGUCCUAGCCCUAAACGAUGUCUACUAGAUCGUGGCGAUUUGACGUCGUCAUGGUCGCAGCAAAAGUGUUAAGUAGACCGCCUGGGAAGUACGGUCGCAAGGCU